GUAUGGUCCCUGCGCAUUCCUCGGGCUGACGGCCAUUUCAAUUUAAGAAAACAAAAGAUGAUCCUGUGAACACUGUAUCAGGCAUCAUUACUGGACUGAAAAAAGGAUCACUUGAUGGACAUGCCUGGCGUUUUGUUUAGAAGUAUUUCUUCUCUGGCCUUAGAAGAUUAGUUUUCAAAGCGAUGGUAAAAUCAUUGAUGUAUGUCUUUUCAAGAAAAAGAAAAAAAAAAGACUCCUAAAUGCCAAACAUUUGCUCUUUGGAGCAUAGCAAGAAGAAAGGGAGAGGACCAGACGGCCACAUCCUAAGAACAGAGUAUUGUCCAGAAGGGGUCUAAAGAAGCCUGCCUUCCCCUAUGAAAGCACCUUCCAUGCUGAUAUUAUACCUCAUUUUCCGAAGGGAGUGUGGUGUGAUGGCACCUCAGAAUGGCACCCAG
rnacentral:lncRNA from 1 species